rnacentral:rRNA from 1 species
AACGAACGCUGGCGGCAUGCCUAACACAUGCAAGUCGAACGAGACCUUCGGGUCUUGUGGCGCACGGGUGCGUAACGCGUGGGAACCUUCCCUUAGGUUCGGAAUAACUCCCCGAAAGGGGUGCUAAUACCGGAUAAUGUCUUCGGACCAAAGAUUUAUUGCCUUUGGAUGGUCCCGCGUUGGAUUAGCUAGUUGGUAGGGUAAAAGCCUACCACGGCGACGAUCCAUAGCUGGUUUGAGAGGAUGAUCAGCCACACUGGGACUGAGACACGGCCCAGACUCCUACGGGAGGCAGCAGUGGGGAAUAUUGGACAAUGGGCGAAAGCCUGAUCCAGCAAUGCCGCGUGAGUGAUGAAGGCCGUAGGGUUGUAAAGCUCUUUUACCCGGGAUGAUAAUGACAGUACCGGGAGAAUAAGCGCCGGCUAACUCCGUG